GAAUGAAGGAGGAAAGCAACUAAGCAUGAAGCCCCCCUCAAUAUGAGAUUUCGCAUCUGGAGUUAUAAGAUCCCUCAAAGAUGAUGAGGUUAAUAGGUUCGAGGUGGAAGCAUGGUGACAUGUGGAGCUGACGAAUACUAAUCGAUCGAAGACUUAAUCAAAA
rnacentral:rRNA from 1 species